GAUGAACGCUGGCGGCGUGCCUAAUACAUGCAAGUCGAGCGAACAGACGAGGAGCUUGCUCCUCUGACGUUUGCGGCGGACGUGAGAGACACGCGUGGAUAACGUACCUAUAAGAGGGGGAUAACUUCGGGACACCGGAUAAAAUACCGGAGAAUAUAUUGAACCGUGUGGGUGAAUAGUGAAAGACGGCUGUGGGGUCUCUUAUAGAGGGAUCCGCGCCGGUUUAGGUGGUUGGUAAGGUAACGGGGUACGAAGGGGAGGAUGCGUAGCCGCACGGCGAGGGUGAUCGGCCCCCCUGGAACUGAGACACGGCACAGACUCCUACGGGAGGCAGCCGUAGGGAAUCGUCCGCAAUGGGCGGAAGCCUGACGGAGCAACGCCGCGUGAGGGAGGAAGGUCUCCGGAUCGUGAAACUCUGUUAUCAGGGAAGAACAAAUUUGCAAGUAACUAUGCGCGUCUUGACGGUAACUGAUCAGAGAGCCACGGCUAACUUCGUG
rnacentral:rRNA from 1 species